CAUAUUCAAACAAUUUAUGAUUUUAGCUUUUAACUUUGUUUCUUUUCAUAUUCAAACAAUUUAUUAUUUUAGCUUUCAACUUUGUUUCUUUUAAUACUGUAAGCCACCUUGGAUCCUUAGGAGAAAGGCAGUAUAUAAACGGAUGGACAGAUGGAUGGACGAACAAACAAGCAAACAAAAGAAGGAGUUUAUAUGGAUGCUGGUGUUUGUUUAUAAGAGAGCUAGAUGCAAGAAAGCAAGAUGGAAUCUGCCACCAUGGACUACACAACUGGGGCCACAUAGCCCAUGACUGGAAGAGAGAAAUUCUUAACUCAUGUGAACAUUUGAAUAUCACGCCAUCAUUCUGGAAUUAUGAAUGUUAGCUUGUCUUUUUCACUGAUUGGUCUUCUGGAUUUAAGGAUGCGAUUCCUUUGAAGUUUGAUUUCAUAAGGAUGAUUCACUCCCUCCUCUGCAAUAUUAGCAUUCUUUCAGCUCUGAUUGUGCAGAUCUGCUUCCAGCCUCAGGGAGCAGAGAAAGGCAAGACUGGGGUGCAGAAAUCAGGCCCAUGAGUGUUGCUGUGCAGGUAAGGAAACACGGAGCAGAUGAAGCAAAGAAAGAAACUUACCAGGGAAACUUGGGACAAUGUUUACUUCUAUUGCCUCCUAGCACCACACAGUAAGUGUGGCUCCAUGUUUCUGCAUUUUCAUGUUUAUUUGAGAGUGUCUUCUAUUUGAAAAUCUAUUUGGUUCACAUCUGGCAUAAAACUCCAAGACUGUAGAGGAAGGAAGACCCUUAAGAUUCCCCAAUAAUCAACAGUAAACACCUGAACCCCAAGCUGAGCAGGCAGGCACAUAGGUUUCCUGGUCAUUCCCUUUCCCAUAACAAUGAGAUAGAUUGUAUUUUUAUUUAAAUUACAAUCAUAGCCCUAAAUCCCCAGUCCCUAGUUCCAACCUAAGUAGGCCUAUUGAUUGAAUGUUAAACUAAUGUCUAUUUCAGUCCUUAUGUUUCAGUGGGUCUACUAGAUAGCACAGCAGAUUCCCAGUGUG
rnacentral:lncRNA from 1 species